CUUUGAGCAUGGAAGCAAACAGUAGCAAGAGUGAAGAGACUGAAAAGGAUUUCCUGCCUACCUUGUGCUCACUUUGCUGGGUAGUUGUAAAUAGAGUGCUUGAAAUGGACAGAAAUGGCAAAGAGGAAGGAGAGGCUCCUGCUGGCCUCCUAUCCAAUCCUGAAUUCACCCCUGGUGGUAAGUUAGCAAUUUAUGUGAAGAGCUAUAAGGAGAUGACUUGUUUAUGUUGCAGGAAGAGUGAAUACUUUAACCCUGAACAACAGUUUGUGUACUCCAGGAGAUUAAUAUCUACAUUGCACGGGCUUGCUGUGAAUAAAUUAACUCUUGACUACACAAUUACUGUCUUAGCGGUGUUCAUUGCAGACAAUUACAUGGUGCAUACGAUAUUUAAUGUAGUUUUGUGAUGAAUUUCGGAAAUGAUAGAGUCAGAUGACAGAGCCUCAUUCCGUGUCACACUAGGACACCAAUAAGCUGCUGAUUAUCUGUAAGGAGAAAUGUAAAUCAUCUGUUCUCUUUGUAAUGAGAACAAUACUGGGCUAAUCAUUCAUAAAGAAUAAUUUAUCUCCCCAUUUAUUUACUUAUUUAGUUCCCCUUUACUACUUUGGCCUACAGACCAUUGAUCAUUCAUCUGGUAGUUGGUUCCAAAGAUGCUGAGGAGAUGGGAUUAAAGAUCGCACCAAGCAGGCAAGCAAGCAAGCAAAAAACCCACACCAGCAAUUACAACUUUGCCAUAUUAUUAUGGUGUGUAAAUAUUCAUUGGCAAGUCUUAGUUAUAUAUCUAUCUUUCAGGGGACAGAGUAUGGAGGAGGAAAAUUAACAUAUUGUUAUCUGAGCUGAGCACUUAAAGUCGCUUUUGAUCCCUGUAAAUAAGUAAUAAGAUAAAGCAAACACCUGGACAUGAAUAAAUAUUCCCUCUCUCUCUGGGGUAGACAAUCCAGUAUCCUCCAGAGGUUGCUAAACUCCAGCAUACAUCAGCCCUAGUCAGCAUUACCAAUAGUCAGGGGAUGAUGGGAAACAUAAUGAAACAAUAUUUUGAGGGUGCUAUGUUAGUUAUCACCUAUCUGCCUAUCUGUCAGGAAUAUUUGUUUGUUUGGAUUUGCUUUCUUUCACUUACUUAUUUACUUACUUACUGGAGAUAGUUGGCUACUGAAGGACAGUUUGUCUGAAAAUAAAUAAAACAAACAAUACUCAGCCUACAUCACUUCUGGAAGAUCCAAGAGUUCAAGCUUUGGCGAGUCUCUAAUGAAAGAAAGAACCAAAAUCCAAAGGUGUUUUUUAAAAAGGUUUUUAAAAAACAACCCCCCCAAAAACCUCCCCUUUAAUCCAAAUCUAUUAUUCUGAUCAUAGUCAACCCCAAUGCUAAAACCAACCCACUGUUUCCUUCUUCUAGCAUGAGACUCACCAUUCCCUUGCUGCUACUUCAGGAGACUUUUACGGCACAGCGCUGCAUGUAAAGUUCACCGUCUUGCCAUGACCUUUCCUCUUUUAAAUUGUUUCAUCAUUGUGACCGACAUGAACCAAAGGGAAGAUGUAAAAAUGUUAAGGAAGUUCAUUUCUAAGAAGGUUAAGCAACUCUUGCAGUGCCCUUUCCACAUUAUCCAGGACCUCCUAGAGGCACCAUAACAUGAUAAUGAUGGUUUCUUUAAUUGCAUUUUGUUGUCAAAGAAGGCAUGCUUGAAAUGGAU